rnacentral:misc_RNA from 1 species
GAUGAAGAACGUAGCGAAAUGCGAUAAGUAAUGUGAAUUGCAGAAUUCAGUGAAUCAUCGAAUCUUUGAACGCACAUUGCGCCCGCCAGUAAUCUGGCGGGCAUGCCUGUUCGAGCGUCAUUUCAACCAUCAAGCCCCAGGCUUGUGUUGGAGCCCUGCGGCUGCCGCAGCCUCCCAAAACCAGUGGCGGGCUCGCUAUCACACCGAGUGCAGUAGUUUACUCUUCGCUCAGGGCGUGUGGCGGGUGCUAGCCGUAAAACCCCCAACUUCUCAAGGUUGACCUCGGAUCAGGUAGGAAUACCCGCUGAACUUAAGCAUAUCAAUAAGCGGAGGA